rnacentral:rRNA from 1 species
GAUGAACGCUGGCGGCGUGCCUAAUACAUGCAAGUCGAGCGAACAGACGAGGAGCUUGCUCCUCUGACGUUAGCGGCGGACGGGUGAGUAACACGUGGAUAACCUACCUAUAAGACUGGGAUAACUUCGGGAAACCGGAGCUAAUACCGGAUAAUAUAUUGAACCGCAUGGUUCAAUAGUGAAAGACGGUUUUGCUGUCACUUAUAGAUGGAUCCGCGCCGCAUUAGCUAGUUGGUAAGGUAACGGCUUACAAAGGCAACGAUGCGUAGCCGACCUGAGAGGGUGAUCGGCCACACUGGAACUGGGACACGGCCCAGACUCCUACGGGAGGCAGCAGUAGGGAAUCUUCCGCAAUGGGCGAAAGCCUGACGGAGCAACGCCGCGUGGGUGAUGAAGGUCUUCGGAUCGUAAAACUCUGUUAUUAGGGAAGAACAAAUGUGUAAGUAACUAUGCACGUCUUGACGGUACCUAAUCAGAAAGCCACGGCUAACUACGUG